CUCAUGGUCACAGAAAAUUUUUUAGAGUUAACAAGUUCAAAUUUAUCUGCAUAAUUGUGUGACAGAAAUGUACAAUAGGGUGCUUCAUAAAAUAUUACCAAGCAUGAAAAUAUAUUAUGCUUGGAUAAAACUCCGUAGCAGAAGCUGAAGAAGAAAAAAAGAAUGUUGCAUAUUAUGUCAAAUAAAAAAACAGACCCAGAUUUGAUAAAGAGAGAUUUUAUUUAAAAGGAUGAUUUUGGGGUGGGGUGAGGGUGGUAAGACUCUGUAAACAGGGAGAACACUCAGGCCAUAAAUCUACAAACUCUCAAGGGGUAGGCAAAAAGGGAUUUUCUUUUAUAGGAAGGAGUAAACCAGUCUAGAAAGAACCUGGUGUAGGCAAAUGGGAAUUGGGGCUAUCUGUAUCCGGUCUAGUAACAGGGUAUAGUGGGGAAUCGCCAUAGAGGGGAAUCCAUGAGUUUUAUCUCAGUCAUUGCAGUGAGCCAUUUCCAGAACCCGAGAGACGGGGUUGAGGUGGGGUUAGGGGGUAAGGGGUUAAUCAUUGCUGUUCUCUAGGAGCACAGUGCUUAGGUAAAACUCAACAUUGUCAUAAAUAGUUUUUUCAUGUACUUUAAAAAUGAAGGCCGGGCGCUGUGGCUCACGCCUGUAAUUCCAACACUUUGGGAGGCCAAGGCGGGUGAAUCACCUGAGGUCUCAAGUUUGAGACCAGCCUGGCCAACAUGGUGAAAUCCUGUCUCUACUAAAACACAAAAAUUACCUAGGUAUGGUCGUGGGCACCUAUAAUCCCAGCUACUCAGGAGGCUGAGGCAUGAGAAUCUCCUGCACCCCGGAGAUAGAGGUUGCAGCGAGCCAAGAUUGCACCACUGCCCUCCAGCCUGGGCAACAGUGCAAGACUCUGUCUCAAUAAAUAAAUAAAGAAGCUAGGCAAGGUGGCACAUGCCUGUAGUCCCAGCUACUUUGGAGGCUGAGGUGGGAGGAUCACUUGAGAAGGGCAGGAGUUUGAGACCACAGUGCACUAUGAUUGUGUUACCCUCCAGCCUGGGCAACAUAGUGAGACCCCACCUCUACAAAAAAUAAAUAAAUGAAAAUGAAUAAUAUUUGUAUCAAAUCAUUAUGAUAUUUAGACUCCAUUGCGUUCAUUUAAUGACGUCUUUUUAAGAUGUCCAUAUUAACAGAUGCUCUGUGACUUAACAAUGAGGCCAUGUCCGGAUAAACCCACUAUAAUUCACAAGUUGAAAAUGCACUUAAUACAUCUAACCUACCAAACGUCUAUAGCUUAGCCUGACAUACCUUAGAUGUACUUACAACAUUUACAUUGGCCUACAGUUGGGCAAAAUCAUCUAACACAAAUGUUAUAAUAAAGUACUGAACAUGUCACAUAAUUUAUUCACGACUGUACUGAAAAUAAAAAACAGAAUGUAUGGACACUUGAAGUAAGGUUUCUACUAAAUGUGUAUUGCUUUUGCACUAUUGUAAAGUUGAAAAAUGUUAAAUUGAGCCAUUGUAGGUCAGGGACCAUCUAUACUUACAUUUAUCAUAAAAAAAUUGCUAAGUAAAAAAACUUGAUGUCCCAGGUAUUCAGUAAGGGUGGUCUCACACUGUCAUCUUGACUGUGGAUGGUAAUACCCAUACCCCUUCUUUCUUAGGGAAACCACUAAACUCACCCUCCAACUUCUGCUAGCUGUGUGACUUUUGGCAAGGCUCUUGACCUUGCUGAACCAAGUCAGCCCUUCCCUUCUACCCAGAGGCUGCCCCUGGAUUGAAUAAAAAUAUUCCCUCCUAGGCCAGGUGCGGUGGCUCACGCCUGUAAUCCCAACACUUUGGGAAGCAGAGGCUGGUGGAUCACAAGUUCAGAAGUUGAAGACCACCCUGACCAACACGGUGAAACUCCAUCUCUACUAAAAAUACAAAAAUUAGACGGGCAUGGUGACACUUGCCUGUAAUCCUAGCUACUCAGAAGGCUGAGGAAGGAGAAUCAUUUGAACCCGGGAGGCAGAGGUUGCAGUGAGCCGAGAUGGCGCCACUGCACUUCAGCCUGGAUGACAGAGCAAGGCUCCAUCUUGAAGAAAAAAAAACAAAAAACGCCUCCUUCCACAAAGACGAGGGCUCCUUUAUAACAGAGCUUGUUUAGGCUGGGGCCUGGUGGGGAAAAACCCAUGAUCCAAGCUCUGACUUCAAGGACCCCAUCAUUUCCCCCUCCGCAUUUUCAAUCUGAAAACACUUGAGACAGGACUUGACCUGUUUUGCAUUUACAAAUCAUUAUGCUACAGUCAGAGUGCCAUUCUGCCUGCCCUGUGUACUCAUUCUGAGGACUUUUUGGGGGUACUGUGGGGAUCCCCAUGGUGCUGGGCCAGGUGCAGACUUGAAAGAGAGUGUUGAUCUGCUCAAUUUUUAGAGCAAUUGUUCUCCACGUGUCGUCCUAGCCCAGCAGCAUGGGCAUUUACCUGGGAGUUUGUUGGACCUACUGAAUCAGAAAAUCAGGCUGUGGGGCCCAGAAAGUCAGGGGAUGAGGCCCAGAAAGUCAAGGGGUAGGAUUAAGAAAAUUAGGGGGUGGGGCCCAGCAUUUUAACAAGCUGAUGAAAUAGCUAAUCCUGAGGCAUGCCGAAGUUUAGGAUCCAUUGUGUUGGAGAGUAUGAAGCUGACGACAUUCCCAGUGCUAAAUGUGAAUAAGGUACUUGUUUUAUGCACGCAGCUCCCCGCCUCUUAGCUCUCUUGAUCCAGCAGCAGCUGGACUUUGGACCUACCAGGACACAGCCUGGCACCAAGACAAUUAAGGUACCUUUGUACCCUCCCCCAACUCCUGAGAAUGUCCGGGAUUCUCAGGCCCAGGCUAAGUGUCACACGGCUAAUUUUUUAAUGGAAGACUGGAGGGAUUUGAUCGAGGGGAGUUUUAUUCUCUGCCGUUCCUUGCUCCAUUCUAGACUAGAGUUCCCUCACAUAUAAAAUUAAUCCUUCAUUCAGUGGUCCCCAGCCUUGACUCAACAUGCUGAACUUGAAAAAACACAGACGAGGCCGGGCGCGGUGGCUCACGCCUGUAAUCCCAGCACUUUGGGAGGCCGAGGUGGGCGGAUCACGAGGUCAGCAGAUCGAGACCAUCUGGCUAGCACAGUGAAACCCUUUCUCUACUAAAAAUACAAAAAAAUUUGGCCGGGCGUGGUGGCGGGCGCCUGUAGUCCCAGCUGUUCGGGAGGCUGAGGCGGUAGAAUGGCGUGAACCCGAGAUCGCGCCACUGCACUCCAGCCUGGGCGACAGAGCGAGACUCCAUCUCACAAAACAAAACAAAACAACAACAACAACAACAACAAAAAAGCACCACAGACGCUUGGGUCACACCCCACCCCAAGAUUCUGAUUUAACUGGUCUGGGGUGGGGCCUGAACAGGAAGGUUUUUAAAUCUCCCCAGGUGUUAGUAGUUUGUCGCUGAGACUGACAAUUGCCGCUAAAGUGGAGUUACCUAAAGCUUCCAGCAGAGGACGCUGCCUCUCUGCUCAUCCAGGGAAACGUGAGCCGGGAAACCUGACAGCUGCAGUUGCGAUGGGUGGGGCUGGAAAUCAGGCUGUUUCGUAAACCCGGUUGAUGCAGUUAAGGCGACGGGCCAGAUGCCGUGACCCUUGUAUCGCCGAGGUUUUUGUGUUGAGACUCCAAUAAAGUUACCUUAAAAAGUAGUAAGUUAGGGCCAGGCGCUGUGACUUACGCUGUAAUUUCAGCAUUUGGGGAAGCCAAGGUGGUAGGAUCACCUGAGCCCAGGAGUUUAAGACCAGCCUGAGCAACACAGGGAGACUCCGUCUCUACAAAAAAUACUGUAAUUAGCCAGGGUGUGGUGGUGGGUGUCUGUAGUCUCAUCUGAUCGGGAGGCUGAGGGAGGAGAAUUGCUUGAGCCCAGGAGGUUGGGGUUGCAUUGAGCCGAGAUCACACCACUGCACUCUAGACUGGGUGACAAAGCCAGACCCCAUUUCAAUAAAUAAAUAAAUAAAUAAAAACAGUAGUAAAUUGUCUAUUUUGCUGAGUGACCAAGAGAUAAGUCACAACCUCUGCAGGCCCUGAUUUCAGCAUUUUUAAAGUGGGGAGGGACUUGGUCUAUAUUCAUUCUUUCAAUAUAUAUUGAGUCCCCUGAAAUGGGCAAGAUACUGAUCUGGAAGGGGAAGGAUACAUAUUUAAAUAGGAUUAAAUUCCUACAUGAUAGGGGAGACUAAUAGAAAGAUGGUGGUUUCCAUUUUUUCCUAUUUCAGGAUGGCAGAUUUGUGGGUGCACAAGGCUGGUGAAGAGGACAACCAUGAAAACUAUGAAAGAAAAGGCAGAAGAGACCAAUAUUGGGUAUAUACCCAUGCUAUUUUAUAUUAUGACACUUCACUUGCCUACUUAUCGUAAUAACCUAGCAAGGUAGAUGUGAUCAAUUCUGUUUCACAGUUGAGGAAUCUGAGACUCAGAGAUGUUAAGUGACUGACUCAAAGUCACACAGCUCGUAAGCAGUGGAGCCAAGAUUGAAACUGGCACAUGUUUGACUUCAGAGCCAGGACUCCCCCCACCACUUAACAAAGGCUGUCAUAUCCAUCCCUCAAAUCAGGAAUGCACCCCACAUCCCCCCCCGAGAUGCUUGUUUCACUGAGACACAAUCUCUCCCCGUUCCAUCUCCAAACCAGCCCCAGAGGCUGAGGGCUGCCCAGGAGAGACUCAACUCCCCUCCUCUCCUGUUCUCCAGCUCUGCCCUUCCUGCCCAAUCUGGGCUUCUCUCCCGCUGUGAAGGACAGAUACCUGCUGAGUGACACCAAUUUGCAGACUUCUGAAGUGUAAAUGAGAUUUCUAAUAGGACUGGCUUCCCACUGGCUUCAGGCAGGGUUAGGAGUAAAGGGAAAUUUAAGACUGGAAGUGCAGAAGAAGAGAGCCAGUUUGUAGGAUAGGGAGCAGCAGAAGCAGAGGCAGCCAAAGUCUCUGGGUAGAAGUGAAGGGCUGACUUGGUUCAGAGAGGUCAAGUGCCUUGCCAGAGGUCACACAGCUAGCAACCGGAAGAGGUAGAAUGAGCUCAGCUAAUGGUUGCAUUUUUAGCAUUCCCUAAAUGAGUACGAUCCCCAACCCCCAACUUUAGUUUGUAAUAUGCUUUAGUCUCCUCUGCUGUAUGGAUGGAGGAGGGUGGGAAUAUACUUAGGAAUAGGGAGGGCAUUUGGAUUUGUUGCUUGAAAAUUAAUCUCCACUGAAAGUGUCAUCACUGUAACUUGGUGCUCACCUUAGGGCAAGGUACCCCCCAGGCAGAGGGAUCCCAGGCAGAAAGGCUGGGAGGCCAGGCAAGGUGGCUGAUGCCUAUACUCCCAGCACUUUGGGAGACCGAGGUGGGCAGAUCCCCUGACGUCACGAGUUCGAGACCAGCCUGACCAACAUAGCAAACCCCUCUCUCUACCAAAAAUACAAAAAAUUAGCUGAGUUGGUGGCAUUCACCUGUAAUCCCAGCUAGUCGGGAGGCUGAGGCACAAGAAUCACUUGAACCCAGGAGGUGGAGGUUGCAGUGAGUCAGGACUGUACCACUGCACUCCAGCCUGGGACAGAGUGAGACUCUGUCUCAAAAAUAAAUAAAUAAAUAAAUAAAUAAAUAAAUAAAUAAAUAAAUAAAAGGCUGGGAAAUGCUUUUUCUGAUCACUAAUUCUAAUUGUAUUCCUGCCACAGUGGGGGAUGGUCCCCAAGCACUGGGCUUUUUUCCCUUGGCCACACCUCUGGAUGUAGCAGCACAGAGGCAGGUACUGGGACCAAGAAAUUCCAUACACACAAGUCCACUCCCUCAGCUGUGGAGCAGGCACCAGACAAGCUCCGAGGUCAGGUGUGUCCCCCCUGCUGCCAGGUACACUGAACAUCCGGGAACCUCGGUCUCCAGUGCAUACCUCUCGGUGCCCGCAUACACUGUGGCUGUCGGGCCACAGACAAUGAGGCCCUGAGCCCCAGGAUGUGGAGUCACAAGGUGCCUCCAUUAUAGGUGCCCCAAAGUGAUUGUUGGGGGAAUUAGUAAUUAAGGAGGGUUUUUCUCCCCCUGCCCUUCAGGUAGUGGUAUGGAAGCAGUCCACUGCUCCCUGAAAACAGAGACCCUGCCCCACUUCCCUGCUCACACCAUAGUUUGUCCAUGUUUCUGGAAGAGUCUGCCGAUGGGUGUUUAGGGUGGUGACCUGAGAUGUUUUCUAGGAAACACAAAAGAUACAAAAAAGAACACGUGGAAGGAUAGCCAAAAAGGGGGGCUGCCCCCAUUUCCUGCACCCCGCUGCGAUGGCUGGCACCAUUAGGUAGACUGGGAUUUGUUGUUGAGCGCAGUAAGACAACAACAAAAUCACUAGUCUUCCAGAUGGGGCCAGCCGGUCCACUCUGUAUCCAGGCCAGUUCUGCAAGGCGUUCGAGGACCACCCCCCUCCCCUCGCCACCAGGUCAGCGGUCUGGAUGCUCCUUCAGGCGAGGCGUUGUCUCCGCUCCUAUUACUAAGUUCAUCUUUGAACACCUCUCCUCACCUCAGAAUUCCCUGGAGAAAUUAUUUUUUCUUACUUUUCCCUUUUUUCUGGAGUGUUCUACUUUCUAUAAUGGACACAGUUGUUUUGUUUUGUUUUGGUGAGACAGGGUCUUGCUCUGUCACCCAGGCUGUAGUGCAGUGGUGCAAUCACAGCUCACUCCAGCUUCAACCUUCCAGACUCGAGUGUUCAAGUGAUUCUUCCACCUCAGCCUCCCUAGUAGCUGAGACUACAGCUAAUUUUUUUUUUUUUUUUUUUUUUUUUAGUAAAGACAAGGUCUCAGUAUAUUGCCCAGGCUGGUCUUGAACUCCUGGGCUCAAGUGAUCCUCCUGCCUCAGCCUCUCAAAGUGCUGGGAUUAUAGACGUGAGCCACUGCACCCAAUUUGAGCAUAUUUCCUUUACAAACAGGGGAAUUAUUUUUAAAGAGAAGCAGGCAAGUGGCUCAUUUCUCUCUUUCCUUUACUAAUCAUAAAGCAUUGAACCACCAUGCAGAAGAGAAACUAGAGCUUGGAAAUGGUGACCCCUCUCUACUGGUGCCUCCCCCUUCUGGAAGCCUAUGGGCAUGGCCCAUGGUGAAAAUUCUUCCUGUGGUUACUGAGCCCUGGAAGCUUCAGAAUGAAGUCAGAGUGGUGGUGCUGGGGUAAGCAGAGCAGGAAGAGGAAAAGGGGAAAUGGUUGUGGACAGGAGGCUGGUGGAAUCCUGGCCCAGUCAUCCCCUCCCUGCAGGCACAGCGCUGGGCUCCCUGGUUAAUUUCCCUUGCAGUGUGGCACUGGUGGAGGAGAGGCAAAGCCCCUGCUGCCUGGGCCAGCCUCUAAUUGCGCUGGCAGGACACAUCCGCUCCUUAAUUAGCAAAAGCCACAAUAUCCUGGCGGCUCAGAGAGCAUGGCCCUAAUUGUAUUUCUGCAGCAACUGAAGGAUAAUUACCCUUCCCUAUUGGUGCUGCUUUUAAUUCUUUCUCUUUUUAAUUGUGAGCACUUCCUCUUUAGCCCACCCUUCCAUCCUUGGGUUUAUUCUCUCUAUCCAGAAUGGGGGUGGGGGCUUGCCUGGUGAUGGAGACGCUCAGGAGCAGGAGGAGUGGGGGGAGUCAUGGAGAAGACUGGCAAUACCUAGCUCUGAGUCCCAGCCCCUUCCAGCUGUCAGCCUGAGACAGGGCACAUCUCUGCCAUGGGUCUGAGAAAAACCAAGAAGUUCUUUUGUGGAAGAUGUAAGGGAGAGGUGUUCCUCCCCCAGAGGCUCUUUAUGACCCUCUUCAGUCUACCCCGCAGUGAGGUGCUGGCUCUGAAAUUCCCAGCUGUAGAAAACUGAGACCUCCUUUCCCCAUCCUUUAAUCUAUCAAGAAACAGAGAUGGAUGUGUGGUCUUUAAUUUCUUUUACAAAAAAAAAAAAAAAAUAGCCCCGUGCCUCUUUGCCACUGUUGAGAGGAGGGUUAGUCCUUCAACCUUGAAUUGUUUUAGAGACAAGGACCUGAGGGUACCAUUAGAGAACAAUGCUAACUAAGGUAACCCCUUGGUUAAUAGGAGAGCUUAGCACCCUAGGUAUUUCUAGGAAAAACAGGCCUUUCUUAGGGACCUGGCAAAUAAACUUUGAGAAGUAAUAGACAAGCUAAAAUGCACCACAAAGAGAGUUUGGAGAGAACCACAGCAUCUCUCUGGAUGUCAGCUUGCAGGACUGACUGAUCUAGCUUACAUGAGCAACCCUGGCCCUAAAGCCACCACCCAAACCACUGCCCUGCUAGAAGCUCACUAUGAGAGCAGGGACUCUCACUCAUUAUUCUUCCAAGUGCCUCGCGCACAGCCUGGCCCGUGAUAAAUGAAACUGGUUGGCAAAGAAGCAGAGUUCAGAGACAGAGUAGGAUUGUGAGGUGUGAACAGGGUAAAUCCAUUUUCAUUGGCUUUUUCCUUACAGAUCCAAUGAAGAUGAAUUUGAACUGAUUGUGGCCCUAGUUUUCAAAAUUCUUUAAUUCUGGGCUCUAUCUGAAUUGGGAGAAGAUGCAAGCAAUAAAAGAGGCUGCUGUAGUCUCAAAGAAAUAUAUUUUGAAAAAAUGACCUGCCCUUGAGCCCACCAACUUCCACUCCCCACUUCUAAUUUCUUUCCUCUGAAUUUAGAGCUGUUCCCUUAGCAACGCUUGUUUCCAUGGUUUCCUCCAUGACAAUGAUCCCAAACCCCUCCUCUCUUUUACCUCAUGACAGUAAUGGAUGAUGGGGAUCCUCAAUGUGGCCACUCCAUGUUACCAUGGUAACAAUUAACUGAGCCUUAAUUUAUCUUUUGUGAAGAGGGCUAGGGAAUAUGAAGCUUUUGAUUUGGAGGGGGAGGGUCCAGGUCUAGAGCUACCAUUCUCAUAAAGAAGAAGAUAAGCUAUUUGUCUUAAUACUAGCCAGUAGGAUUUAGUUCAAACAUUUGUUCAGCCCUACUUUAAGCACAACUGAGUUUGAGGGAAUCAAAGGGGUACAAGACAUAGCUCCUAAUAUUGAAGGGCUAAUAGUCUAGCACUAGGGCUCAUGGUACCGCUGAACUCUGGCACAGAUGGGGCCAAUAAAGAAUAUGGCUCUUGAUAGCACCGUGAUGAUCAGGCAUCUAUCCAUUCCCAGUAUCCCCUCCUGCCAAGAACCAAAAAAAGACUGACUGAAGUGGUCUGUACUCACAUUAAGACUUCUUCCGGGCUGUUAUCAGAGAGUUUCUGUCCUGAAAGGGAAAGAACUUUGACUUCCCCUCUUUUAGGGAAGUGGGGACCAAUGCCAGCAUCCCUGAGUAGGACUAUUUGGUGCAGGAAAAAAGAGAAAAAUAAACAGACCUGCCCAUUGCCAGUGCAACAAAGGACUGGGAUAAUCUCCAGUUCCAGGAUAACCAUCACCUACCUGCAACAAGUCUUCCUGGGAAGCGAUGAGUCAGCUCUUACAUUGAAUUAAAGAGUCAUUGUCUCCAUCCAUUCAGCUUUUCUAUUUGUCACUGAAAAUUCAGGCCAAAAGCGCAGCUCUGAAGAAUGAAAGUGGAAAAACAGACAAAUAAAAAUCAAAGUGAAGAGGACACCAAACACCAAACACAAAACACCAAAGCUGAGAGCUGAGUAGAGUGAAUCCACAAGCUGAGAUAUCCAUUCUGCAUCACAAGCAAUGCAGUUCUUCCGACUUCUAGCUUUCCAUCUUCAUCUCCAAAAGUUUUCACCAAAUCUCUAAUAAUGAGGACCAAUUAUCUAUUUUUAGGGGAAAUCACAAAAUUCUCUGGACCCUCAGUGUGCUGGUAACAAUAACCUGCACUGACUUGGAAAGAUGAUCACAGUAUCUCCUAAAAUGAAGGGGGAAAAAAGCCAUAGGACAAUGUAUAAGGCAGGUAUGUUGAAGUAAGCUGCGAAUAGGUAGGUAAAAAAUGUCAUCCUUGCAAGUCAGUGCAAUCUGGAUUAGCCAAAGUCAAUUCCAGAUCCUGAGUCCAGGACUCUGAGUUCUGUCCUUUGCUACUGGAUGGAACUAAGGCAGAUUCAAUCCUUCUGUGUACCCUGCUCACUCAGCUAGUCAGAAAAGGAUAAAUGGCAUCCUCUUAUUGGUUGACAAGGCAAUACACACCAACCAAUGAAAGAAUGCUUCUUCCUUUCCAGCCAAUAAGAGCUCAGUUAUCUUCUUGAAAGUAGACCCUUUGUCCAUAAAGAAAAUAAGCAGAAAGUGAAUAAUAAUUAAAAAAAACCACACAACUGUUGCUAUGGGACAUUACUGAUGUGAUCAAUGAUAGCUGCCCCGGACAAUUCAUAAAGGAAAGCACUUCUUUGGGAAGAAAAGUACAAAAAGCAGACCAGCUGUCUGGUCUGGUCUAAAGGGAAGUUUCUAUAGUAACAUGGGAGAGAAAAGCAUUUUAAAAGCAUUUUAAUGUAAAUACCCGCAAAACUAUCAAGUCAGUUCACCGAGCGAAUUUUUGACCUUUUAAACUUAUGCUGAAAUUAUAAUGAAUAAAAAUUCUUAUAUUAAUAAUAAAUGAAGGAAAUGGAGAGAAAAGAAGAGAACAAGAGGAGAAAAGAAAAGACCUGUGUGUUUAUGGUUCAGGGCAUCACAGAUAAAGAUAUCACAGUUCCUGCCUGAAACAGAAAUGUUCUCCAACCCCGUGUUGUCAAGUAAUAUCUCAGUUUAAAACAAACUUCUUUUUGUUGUUGUUAUUGUUGCUGUUUUUCGGGAAAGAGAACGUUCAUGGCACUUAGACUUAUUUGAGAUGAAACAGUGCACAGAGCACAGGCUGUUCUGGUAACUUGCUAGCGAUUUCCUCUCAAAUCAUUCUGAGAAUGUUACAGCUGCCUUUGGAAAAUUAUGAGUAAAAUAAUUUCCUACCCAGAUGUUUCUAAUGGACAUAGGCAGGGCAAGGCUGACAGGUGAAAGUGGAGUCAAUGUUUGUCAAUCAAGGGAAACAGAAAAACUCAGAGGAUUAGAAGCUUUAGGUGCUGUAUUUGCUAAUUAUGAAGGCGAUGCUGGGGAGGAAGAAGAGAAGAGAAUCUUGAGGAAUCAAAUGAGAGUGAUGCUAGUGUCCAUCUGCUAAGGGAGACACGUUUCCCUCUACCUGUGCUUUCUAUGUGGUCUAUGGGGCAAGGUGAGAAGUGGGGGUAAUCCAGAAUUCAGCCCUCUCUCCCCUGAGGGGAGUGGUUUAGUGGGGCAGGGAUGACUAUCAAACCAGGGAGAAAGUUUCUCUCUACAGUAGACACCCCUGGACAAUUUCCUUGUCUCCCUCCUGUACAUCCAGGAAAAGCAAUUUUUUUUUCUCAUUUUAAGGGGGAAAAAGAGAGGGUGGGGAUAGGAACUCAGCUCCUUCAGUAUAAAGGACUAAAUGAAAAAUAUAAAAGCCCAAAUUGUAAAUCCUGGAGAAAUGAAGCCAUGGGGUGGAGGGGGGAGGGGAUGACUGUAGUGGUGGAAAGGUAAGUUGCUCUGCUAUGCGCCUUUACUUAAAAUAAAAACAAACAAACAAAAAACAAACAUCUUCCAGGAUUUCCCCAGACGGGGCCUUACGCGGGAUCGAUGUGCCUCUCACCUAGCCCAGACAAGGCAGGGGCUCCCCAGGAGAUAUUUUAAAUAGUCAAGGUGCUCACUGAUUAUCAGUGGCCAAAGCCCCGCCACCCACCGUAACCAAGGCAACAGGAGGCAGGUGCUGCGACUGGUUGCCUGGUAAGCAUGCUAGUGCCAAGUCCUUUCCCUUCCUUCUCCACCUCCGUUAGCCCUUUUGUGAUAGCGCCUCUCCCUCCGCUAUCUUUCCCCUUCUUGGCCAAACAAUAAUCUUUGCUCCUCAUACAAAGGUCACUUUGGGCUCCUUUGGGUAAAAAAACGCGUACCUUGAUGUUCUUUUUGAACAGAUUUCAUCCACGCUUGAGUUUUGAGACCUAGAUAAAAUGUGCUUCUUACCUCGGCUUCAAUAUCUUCUCCCUCCACCCCACUCUUUCCCUUUCACUCACUCCUAUUAAGGCAUACAGAGAGCGCGGGGAGGAAGGAAGGAAGGGAAAAAGGAAGGGGGAGAGAGCGAGAGGGAGCACGGGGGAGCGCAGGAUUUAAAUGUGGCGAUUUUUCACGGAACACCAGAGCCUGGGGCUCACAGUAGAUCCUCUGUCCCGCUUGCCCCUUUGCUCACCGCCUGCAAUCGUGCCUCUGCUCCCCGCACCACUGCCUAAAUUUGGCGCCAAGUUUUUCCACUGGUCGUGGCCAGAGCGAGAGAGAAUGCUCUCCUAGAAUCCCACACCUAAAUCCCUGGAGAAAUGAGGAAGAUGAGUCCCGCUUUCUUCCGCGAACCUGUGUCACCUCCUGACCUCCUCCGCGUGGGGUCUGAGGGGCCGCGAGCGCAAGUGGCGUGGGCUGGGAGGCCGAGCCGUGCGCAGGCACCGACCAUGGGCACCCUAGGGCCGGGGCGCUGUCCAGCCUCUGGUGCUGAAGCUGCAGGCUCGGAUUCGCUGGGGGAGGGGCUCCAGGGACCUUUAGCAGCCUGAUUCUGAGCCGACUCCAAGCGGGUAGCGACUCGAAGGAGAGGCGCUUGGUCUGCCGAGUGGAAAGGCUACACUGGGAAGUAACGGCAUUAGGCGCUCUCUUUCAGCAGAUAGGGCUCUCCCAGGGCGCAAUCCCCGGCGCCUCUGAUUCCCCUCCCUGGAGUUAUUUGCUGCAAUUGCGGUGGGUAGGAAGAAAGGCCCUUUGCACUGGGGCGAUUACCCAGUGGUCUCCUGGUACUUUUCACAUUUUUUCCUGCGGCUCUGGGCUCUCUGGGUGCUGGCCAGCCUGGCGCUCAGAUCUGGUGGCAGGCAAAGCAAAGAGGAGAGGCUUGGAACGCCGAACCCAGCUGCUCUUCUGCAUGCAACAAGUCAGCUGCAUCUAGAAUCAGGGGCGAGAAGCGCGGGAGGAGGGGCGACGGCGGGCUUGGGGCGGCUGGGUUGCGAGAGCCGGCUCCCGCGAGGCUGUGGGGCCGUCUUUCUCCUACUGGGCGCGGGACCGAGCGAAACAAACUGCAAGCUGGGUUUCCGCGUCGCCCCGGGCAGGUACUGGAACCAGACGCCCCCACACCUCUAGCCUGCCCAGCAUCCCGUAGGAGCGCUCACCUGCUGGGCUCCGGAGUCGCCUUCCUUCCUCUUCAUUUUGGCAAGGCACAUUUGGCGGGUGCCAAGCCUGGCCGCUCGCUUCUCCGGCCCUCCAGAGCAGCCUCAGGCUUAGCUUCCCGAAUAUCAGCUCCAGUUGGCUGCUUCUCCAGUCCCGAGCCCUUGACCUGGAGGAGGGGACGGGACCGGGGACCUCGGCUGGGAUUUUUACCUGGCAUGGGUCGCCGCGGCUAGGGAGGAAGACCACUUGCUCUCCGUUUCUUUCUGGAAGAAAGCCCCUCACCACCCAGCUGCCGGUACUUUGCUUCCCCCCAGGAGCCGCAGUGCAAGUAGCAGCGCAGUGCGGGGGAGGGGGUGGGGUUUGAGGAAGCUGUUUGUGAAGUGCCCCUUGAAUACUUGCCUCUCUGAGGCCAUCAGUCCUGUCCGGGUCCGUAGUCCUGGCAUGGUCCGCCGGGUGCAAACACAGUCGCCGCGGCUGCCGGGCCAGAGGAGAACAGCUGCUUUAAAGCUGAGACCAACCCACGGGUGGCCUGUCAGGGCCACGGAUGUUCAUGACGUCAUCCUGAAGGCGAGCGGAGAAAGCGAGUGGAGAGGGGGGAGCCGCGCUUCACAUCAAAUGUCCCCUGUGGCCAUGGCAACAGCUUUGGGGGAGGGGGUGCCGGUCCGCGGGCCAGCAGCGGGCAGCCUGCGACUCCUGCCAGGGUCCAGCGCUCCGCUGGGGUAGAGUCCGUCAUUAGUGCUGAAUCCAGUUGUGCCCGGACCAGAAGAGACACCAGAGCCAGUCCCGUCCCCUCCCCGGGCUGGUCAUAGCAGAAAUUUUUUUUUCACAGGGCCAUUUCCUAUUCUUCCACCACCUUACCUGGGCAGGUCAGACCCGGUUCACCUGACCGCUCACAGACGUAUUCUCACUCACUCUCGACCGACGCAUGCUGGAGCAGAGCACACCCAGGCAGCGCCCAAGCGGGACUCACCCACCUGCCCGGGUCCUCGCCUGCACACACGACAAACUGAGGCUUCAAAGCAGCCUUGAGAGCUUCAGAACAUGACAAACCCACUACUGAUCCAGUGCGCAUCUAGGGGGCGCAAACUGGUGACCAACGAACCAGACAGGACACAAAAAUGUUUGCCCAACCCUGGACGGACACACAAAUAUCUGUGCUGCCCACAUCCAGCCAACACAGGCAGCAGGAUAUUUCCUCCUAGUCAGACUGGUUUGUUUAUUCUUUAGGUGCCGUGCCAGAAGCCACACAGCUGAUAAGUGGUGGAUCCAUCUUGAAUUUGACUUCUAGACACUCCCUUUUCAUAGGACAGUGGGAGUUUAAUCAUGGACAACAAUUCUUCUUCAGAUUAGAACUUAAUUGGAGGACAGAUUGGCAGCUCAGCCGACCUUACUGUCAUCGCCAUUAGCCAAAUAAAGAUAAACCUUGACACUGCCAGUUUCCUCAAUAUUCUCAUGCAUUCAUUUCUUGGAAUU
rnacentral:lncRNA from 10 species